UAAUACGUAGGUGGCAAGCGUUGUCCGGAUUUACUGGGCGUAAAGCGUAUGCAGGCGGACCGUUAAGUAGGAAGUGAAAGGUUGGAGCUCAACUCUAACACUGCUCCCUAUACUGGCGGUCUUGAGUGGCGGAGAGGAAGAUGGAACGACACGUGUAGCGGUGAAAUGCGUUGAUAUGUGUCGGAACACCAACGGCGAAAGCAAUCUUCUGGACGCAAACUGACGCUGAGAUACGAAAGCCAAGGUAGCAAACAGGAUUAGAUACCCUGGUAGUCUUGGCCAUAAACGAUGAUCACUAGGUGUUGGGGCUUUGCCUCGGUGCCGCAGCUAACGCAUUAAGUGAUCCGCCUGGGAACUACGAGCGCAAGCUUA
rnacentral:rRNA from 1 species